UGUUAUGGCAGCUGUGCGCGGGACGCCUUCGGGUGUGCCGGGUAUCACUGAGGCCCGGUCGACCAACCUGCGUACAGCUGUCACCCUU
rnacentral:antisense_RNA from 1 species